GACGAACGCUGGCGGCGUGCUUAACACAUGCAAGUCGAACGGAACGGCCCUGCCUUUGUGGGGUGCUUGAGUGGCGAACGGGUGAGUAACACGCGAGUAACCUGCCCGCGACUUUGGGAUAACUUCAGGAAACUGGGGCUAAUACCGGAUAGGAGCUCCUGCUGCAUGGUGGGGGGUGGAAAGUUUCGGCGGUUGGGGAUGGACUCGCGGCUUAUCAGCUUGUUGGUGGGGUAGUGGAUUACCAAGGCGUUGACGGGUAGCCGGCCUGAGAGGGUGACCGGGAACAUUGGGACUGAGAUACGGCCCAGACUCCUACGGGAGACAGCAGUGGGGAAUAAUGCACAAUGGGCGGAAGCCUGAUGCGGCAACGCCGCGUGCGGGAUGUCGGCCUUCGGGUUGUGAGCCGCUUUCGCCUGUGACGAGGCGUGAGUGACGGUAGUGGGUAAAGAAGCACCGGCUAACUACGUG
rnacentral:rRNA from 1 species